rnacentral:rRNA from 1 species
CUAAUGCCGGAUGUGAAAGCUGGGAGGCAUCUCUUGGUUUUCAAAGCUGGGGACCGUAAGGCCUGGCGCUUCAUGAUGAGCCCGCGGCCUAUCAGCUAGUUGGUAAGGUAACGGCUUACCAAGGCUAAGACGGGUAGCUGGUCUGAGAGGACGACCAGCCACACUGGAACUGAGACACGGUCCAGACACCUACGGGUGGCAGCAGUCGAGAAUUUUUCACAAUGGGCGCAAGCCUGAUGGAGCGACGCCGCGUGGGGGAUGAAUGGCUUCGGCCCGUAAACCCCUGUCAUUUGCGAUCAACCGUUGUUGUUUAAGAGAUGACAACCUGAUAGUAGCGAAAGAGGAAGGGACGGCUAACUCUGUGCCAGCAGCCGCGGUUAUACAGAGGUCCCAAGCGUUGUUCGGAUUCACUGGGCGUAAAGGGUGCGUAGGUGGCGAAGUAAGUCGGAUGUGAAAUCUCCGAGCUCAACUCGGAAACUGCAUUGGAAACUACUUUUGCU